AAGAAAACACAUCAGGGCUGGCUGAAAAGUUUUAAGCCUAUCGGUGAACGACCUGUACAAAGCCAAUGGUUUCCAUCUAUUUCUCUGCAUAUAGUCUCCAACGAUGCUAUAAGGUUUAGAUGCUGUCAGGUUGAUGUCUAAUUCCCUAAUGGCCCAAUUUAAUUUAAAGGGAAAUAAAGGGAGGUGGUCCAUAAUGGACUUAGAAAUUUACAAAGUUGUCCGAGAUAGUGUAAUGAUCAGUCAGCCGAGCUGCAAUGAAGCCGAGAUAAUAACAGCAGUUUCGGCUCAUCUAAAAUAUGAGCCGGACAGAAGAGGGACCAAUUAAGUACAUGUACAGUUGUAAUUUGUUUAUUACAUGUCAUAUUUUAUUAUAAUCUUUAUAAGCCAUUUUAAGUUCUUUUAUCAUCCAUUUAAUUUUAUUUUAUUUUCUAUGUGUGAUGUCCACAAAAUGUUAACUGCGCCAUUGAGCAUUGAGUGUUUUAUAUUGGUAAUAGGCGCAUUAUAAAUAAUAAAUUAUUAUUAUUAUUACAGUACCAAUUGCAUUAAAAUUACUUUCUCAUUUUUAGCAAUAUCAUUCAUUACCCAUUACAUUGAAAGUAAAUAAUUACAUUUUAUUACUAUUUAAAGAUUAGUGCUAA